UAAAGAGGAAAAAUUCCUCUGUUACCAGUCUGGUUCUCAAAAAACGUAAUUUUAUCGUCACUGCUUGUAGCAGGAAGUUAAGAAGGGGUGCCGAUGACAGCCAUGACCCUGUAUCUCUGGGCUGUCUUUCUCACCUCCAUCAGCCACUUCCCCCUCCGACUGCUGUUCUUUACAAGUAAUUCGAAACCAGCCUGCGGACCGAGGACGAGCCCGGAUUGGACCGGCCCUGGCCUGUGGUCUGCCCGGGGCUGCCAGGCUGGGGUGGGCGCUGCAGCCCUCUCGGGGAAGCUGUGCCUGAGGCCGGGACUCUCCGGGCCCAGGUCCUCCUCAGGGGUCCACAUCAAGCCAGGCUGGCCCCCGGGAGUGGUAGGGGGAGAUGCAGGGCUCGUGGCCUGGAGCGCUUCCCCGCGGGGCGGAAGGAGACACCAGCUAGCUGGCUCCCGCGCGCCCAUCCUGCUCCCUCCUCCCUCUGGCUCUGCCUUCCCCUGUGUCUCUUCCUUCCCGAGUGUUGGAGCUGAGCGAGACCUCGGCUCUUGCGGCUCCAGCGGCCGGGCAAGCGGGACCCUCAGGGGAGUUCCCAGGUGUGGAUGGACUGACGGCACAGGGGACCUUAGCCAAAGGUUAGAAAGAAAGGUGUAGGAGCUUCAGAGUGUAGGAGAGUGCAAUGCCUUCUCAUUGGAUGUUGUAGACCUCUCAUUGCACAAUAAACCAUCCCCAAAUACACA
rnacentral:lncRNA from 1 species